ensembl:lncRNA
AGCAGACCCAAUGAAAGGUGAAAGCUCUUUGGCUAGAAUGGCUCCUCAGAGUUGUUCUGAGUUGGGUUGAGAUGGCCAGGAUUGUAUACCCUUGUAUCAAUCAGUCAUUGGAUGUGGGCCACUUUGGGAAAGGACGUGAUCUUGGACAAGACAGUGUUCUGCUUCUAACAAUCCCUGAGUAGUGUGACAGCUAACGGCUGUCUGCUGACAGCAUUUUCAGAAUCAGAUGGCAGUGCUGUCACCCUCCAGUGAUCUUUCUCAGAGAUGGCUUUAAAUGUGGAAUCUCUGCUUGCUUGUAGCAAUCUGACUUAUUUAAAAGGAUAAGUGGAAGAGAGGACAUGAUAGCAUCUCCUUGUCCCUAGUGCUACACUCAAUAUGCCAGCAAAUUUGGAAAACUCAGCAGUGGCCACAGCACUGGAAAAGGUCAGUUUUCAUUCCAA